GAUGUUGAUUUAAAUGGCUGCUGGAAUGUAGUUCAAAAUCUACUCAGGGCUAGCUGUGGUAAUCAUAGUAAGUGGGAUGUCUCAACCUAGGAGCAAUGUGUGAUGGAUCAUGAAAGCAAGUUUCUAACUAUAAAUGUUGCAUAACUUGCUGUUUAUGACUGUUUUCCUGAAAUAUAUGGAAGUUUGAGAGGCCUGUACUUCAUUCUUUGCAUAGUAUAUUGGUUGUCGUGAAUGUAUACUGCAACCUGUUCACAUAGCUGAGGCAUUUCAACGUACUCCAAAUCAGUUUCACUGCCCUGUAUUUGUGAGUUGUGUCCAGUUCAGGGAAUGUCUUCACAUUGUUGAUAGGAGCCGAGUGAGGGUAGCAUUGCUGCUGUGUUGUGUUCACAGGGGAAAGCUGGUGUUGCAGUGCUUCAGGGAGGAAAGGCACAGAACUACUGAAAACUUUACUACCUGCAAAGAGGCUUGCUAGAACCUCUUCUGCAGUUUUGCCUUUGAGUUGAAAUACACACUGUUGCUGUGUUUGGAAAGCAAAUGUUAAUGUGUUGUCACAAACUAGCAUUCCAGUUCAUUUCAAAACAACAACAAAAAUGCUUCCAAGUACUACUUCUGUUUUAAUGACAGGUCUGUAGAACUCAGUUGGAUGGCCUGCUUGAGCCACCGCUGGGAUGAAUAAAGAUGUCUUUAACAGCAUAGUAGUACAUGGAUAAGUUCAGCUGUGCUUUUAAUAGAUGAGUGUUUAUCUGGGAGUUUAGUCUAGGUUAGUGUUGGGUCUUGUGAUGUGUUCUGAGUAUUUAAACAGUGCAAGCUACUUUCCAUAACUGCUUCUUUAUUUCUGGCUUUGUAAGAAGGCUGCUGCCUUGUUUUGUGAUGAUCUACUGUUUUGUUACAGAUCUUAAGCUGAAUUCUGACUGUUUUAAUUUAGACUGCUGUUUCAAAAUGCUCUGCCUCUACUGAAGUAUCCCACACCUCCAAGAAGCAGCUCCCUUUAGUCCAGAGGGUGAUCCAGAGAGCUAUGUGCAGCAAUCCAUCUUGAUGGGUUUUGUGCAUGGACAGUGGGGGCUAAGGCUUCCCUGGGAGGCAACUGGACAAGGGUGCCCCUUCCUUGGAGGAGUUCUUGGAGUUCUUGAUUUGGGUUCCUGCCUGCCACUGCGCUCCUCUAGACUUCAAAGUUGGGCCUUUGACAGAGCAGGUAACUCUCUUUAUCUCUGUGCUCGUAUGCAAAUGAGUUUAUAUCAUGUAACUUAGAAGAGUAGCAAAACUAGGUGCUAAUUCCCCUUUUGUCCCCUUAGCUGCCUGUGGGAAACAUGUAGGCUUUUCAAUAAAUAGGGGAAAAAAUGUGAGACAGCCGCAGAGAUUUGUGUGGCACUAAGGAGAGUGUGAGAACAAGAAGGAGCUUGACGUCUUUGAAAAAUCUGUUAAUCCACUGUGCUCACAGCUUUCUCCUGUGACCUUCUCUGGAAACAGGAUUGCUGCCAGGGAUCCUGGUCUAGCGACAGGAGGGAACUGCAGAGCUGCAGUCAGCAAGUGAAAGAUGAGCACGGCACUAGUUUUCACAUUACAAUCUUUAGGAUUACUUUCAUGUCUUACUGGAAAUCGCAAGUUUCUUUACAUGUAGUACUUGCACCUGGAAAAAGACAACCUGCAGAUCUCAAGUCCUGAGUGGAAUUUCCUGUUCAUGCUAUUGACUGCAUACUGUGUUUUCAAGCCUGUGCAUCAUACCUUGAAUAUGUUAACUCCUAGUGCAUUGGAAUAUUCUGCCUUGGCUCUGAAUUCUGUGGGCUAGGUUUGGUUUUCUUCUGAAUUAACUCCUCGUCCUGCAUACAAAACUUCUGUGAGGUGUUUGUUUCCCUUCUAUGAAGCAAGUAUCCUAUCUUUCCUUUACUCAUUUAUGUUGAGGCAAGGAACUUGCUAAGGGAAUCCAAGUCUUUUGGUCCACAUGCCUAGUGUGUGUUGUCCUUCUGUAAUUCCAUCUCUUGUUCUGGAAUUUUUAAUGCUCAAACUGAACCUGAUGACUUCACAAAAAUGCAACUCACUUCAGCUCUGCCCUCACCUUCUAUGUUGUUUUGUUCAUGUUUGUGAUGCUUCUGCUUUACUGUUCUAACAAUGUGUUCACCAAAGGUCAAGAAAAGCACAACGAUGAAAUACCAACGGCUUUUAAAUCAUGCUGGCCUGCUGUGUUCUGAUGUCUCCCUCCCCUCCUGCACACCAGGUUCUGUGCUGUGGGCAGCUGGCUGAUACCAGAAACUUACACAGACUUGGAUUUGCAUUUGGAGCAGUGUAGGCAUGUUGUAAACACUCAACAGGUGUUGACACUAAACAGGUGUAUACAGGUGUAUACAUUACCCUCGGACUAGUCCCUGCAGAAUCGGUGUUGGUGUGCUUUAUACUGCUUUGAAUUCAGAGUCAUUUGGGGCUUUCCAUAGUUGAUCUUAUAUGUGAUGGUAAAUGGUAAGUUCCACUUACUCCUGUCUUGUUGCAUCUAGAGUGAUAUGAGAUGGUAUGUUAGCCGAAGAAAAAAGAUAGCCCACUGCAAAGAGUGCUUGGGUAAAGCGAGCAGUAUGCUCUGUGGGACAUCAUGUUCUGUCCUUGUCUAAGUGUGAGUAAAACUGUUGUGGCUUUCUCACCUCUUCACGGGAGCAAUGUGGAGUGUUCUUACCUCUGCUACUGUGCAGUAACUUGGAAGUGCAGUUCUCUGCAUGUGUAAGUAUUCUGGGUAUUUUUGUCUGCAGAUGGCAUGUCUGUAGGAAAGGAAGAGGGAGGUUUAAGUUCUAGCAGGAAAGGUUUGAACUGGUGGACAAGUUUAGUUAACCCAAAGAGCUCAAUGCUGAAGGAAUGAAAAGUGGAGUGAGGCAAGUGCCAUCCUCAGAAUGCCAGGCUGAGGGCAGUGCGUGCAAGCACAGUGCACCUGCAUGUGCAGCUGAUGAUGUACUGCACCAGCCAACUGGAGGAAGCACAAGAGGGGAAAGUGGACAGAAAUCUAAUGUGAUAAACUGUUUUCAAGACACAUCACUAAAAUCAGUUAAGUACAGGGUUGCCACAUAAUAUUACAGUCAAUUUCAGGUUCUGGUACCUUAAGUGUGUUUUCUCCUUCACUCUUUCUGAAUAUCUUUCCAUGUUAAUUCCCACCUAGAUUUGUGGGUAACAGCAGUCCCUCUGUAAAAUGUUUUUAUCCUGGAAUGACUUGUACAUAUGGUCAGCUACUGCCUCAGUUUGGUUCUAAAUUAUUACUUAGCCCUAUUCAGUCUUUAUGAAACCAAAUCCAAGUAAAGUGAUAGAUAGCAAUUAUAAAUUAUUCAUCUUCUGUUUUGCAAAUGGAGAGAGGUUGUCCUGUGUGUAGCAGUCGUAUGUUACACUUUCAUGUUCAUAUUUCUUGGGGAAUGAUUUCUCAGUCAAUUUAACUAAGCUGUAGGGAUUAGAUUUGUGAGUGCUUCUAGGGACAUGAGAAAUGUCCAGAGGGGAGGGUUCAGCCAUGUGACGUGUGAAAUACCAAAGGGGCAGGCUGGAAGGUUUCUCUCCAGCCAAAUAGUAAACUUCAGAGAAAAAGGGAAAGAGAAUGUAAGCAAACCUGAGUGAGUGAGUGUUGAGCUCUGUGGAUGGCAAUUAAUAAAGCAGUGAGAAUGAAUGAACCAGAGGCCCAAGAUUUCUAUACAUCUGACCUCAAGAAGCCUACACUGAAGAAAGGGAAUGUUUGGCCAGACACUGGAAGGAGAAGCGACAGUUCUAGAGCUUCCUUUUCUUGCCCACAUGUCUUCCUUUGCCUCUGCUUGUUCUGCUGGAUAGGCAGUCUUCUGGGGCAUCCUCAGUGUCUGGACUACGGGCCACCUUUCCAGCCUCCUUUUCACCUGGAGUUCUGCUCUGCCUAUGAAAACUUUGGCUGCUGUGACCAGGAGAGAGACAAUAGCAUUGCAGCAAAAUACCGUGAGAUCCUGGAUUAUAUUGAUCCUCGGGGGCAUAAGCUGUGUGGAACAUACAUCAAAGAUAUUCUCUGUCAGGAAUGUUCUCCAUAUGCUGCACAUCUCUAUGAUGCUGAAAACCCACGGACACCUCUCAGGAAUCUUCCAGGACUUUGUUUUGACUAUUGCUCUGAGUUUCAUUUCAAUUGCCACUCUGCCAUCAGCUUGCUCACUAGUGAUAAGCACAUUCAGGAAUGCUGUGAGACGAAUAAGACCCGCUUCUGCAACCUCCUUCGCCUGCAUGACGAGGACUACUGCUUCCCCAAUGUGCUGAGGAAUACAGCCCUCAACCACAACCUGGGCUCAGUGGUGGAGGACCGCAGAGGCUGCCUCCAGCUCUGCCUUACUGAGGUUGCUAAUGGCCUGAGGAACCCUGUCCUCAUGCUGCAUGCCAAUGACCAUACCCACCGCAUCUUUGUAGCUGAGCAGGUGGGGAUCAUCUGGGUCUACCUACCUGAUGGCAGCCGGUUGGAGGAGCCAUUUCUGGAUAUUAAAAGUAUUGUGCUGGCGACGCCAUGGAUAGGGGAUGAGAGAGGCUUUUUGGGGAUGGCUUUCCACCCCAACUACAAGAACAAUGGGAAAUUUUAUAUCUAUUACUCAUAUAUGGAUAAGAAGCAAGUGGAAAAGAUCAGAAUCAGUGAAUUGAAGGUCUUGGCCUCUGAUGCCAACAAAGCAGAUCCCCACUCAGAAAGGAAUCUUUUAGAACUUGAAGAACCAGCUGCAAAUCAUAAUGGUGGGCAAUUGCUCUUUGGUGUGGAUGGCUAUCUGUAUCUAUUCACAGGAGAUGGAGGGAAAGCUGGAGACCCUUUUGGGAAAUUUGGGAAUGCUCAGAACAAGAGUGUUUUGCUGGGGAAAGUCUUGAGGAUUGAUGUGGAUGGAAGAAGUCCCGAUGGCAAGCCUUAUCGCAUCCCUCCUGAUAACCCUUUUGUGUCUGAUCCCAAGGCUCGCCCUGAGGUUUAUGCUUAUGGGGUCAGGAAUAUGUGGCGAUGUGCGGUUGACCGGGGAGAUCCUGCCACGAAAAAGGGAAGAGGGAGGAUAUUCUGUGGGGAUGUUGGACAGAACAGGUUUGAGGAAAUCGACAUAAUUGUUAAAGGAGGAAACUAUGGCUGGAGAGCAAAAGAGGGAUUUGAAUGCUAUGACACAAAGCUUUGCCGUAAUUCCUCCUUGGAUGACAUUCUUCCCAUAUUUGCUUAUGGCCGCAGUGUGGGGAAGUCGGUCACUGGAGGUUAUGUAUACAGAGGAUGUGAAUCGCCCAAUUUGAAUGGUCUCUAUAUCUUUGGUGAUUUCAUGAACGGUCGACUUAUGGCUUUACGGGAAGAUGAGAAGACAAAUAAGUGGAAGAAGCAAGAUAUCUGCAUUGGUAGCACAAAAGCUUGUGCUUUCCCUGGAAUGAUCAGAUCUUACAGUAAAUUCAUCAUCUCAUUUGCUGAGGAUGAAGCAGGUGAGCUGUAUUUUAUGUCUACUUCUUAUCCCAGUGCCUAUGCGCCACAUGGAUCUCUUUACAAAUUUGUUGAUCCUGCAAGGAGAGCUCCACCAGGGAAAUGUAAAUACAAGCCUGUAACAGUGAAAAUAAAGAGCAAACGGAUAGCAUUUGUUCCACGUGCAAAGACUGUCCUUGAGUUGCUUAAUGAACCUUCACCAACCAAGCGUCCGAAAAAAUCUUCCGCCCCCCCUGGAGCUGUCCCGACAGCUUUUUCUAAGAAAUCUAAAAAGAAGGCAUCCUCCAAAAUAAAAGCAUCAACAGCGAAACCAAAUCUGUCCAAUAAAAAGACACCAAAAACCAAGGCUGGUGGUGAACACAAGCCAAACCAGAAACAGAAGGUUGCAAGGGUCAACAGAACAACGCCAGCACCAUCUUUGCCAAAAAAGAAGAGCUCCCAACUACCUGGAGCCAAGAAGCUUCUCCCAAAGCAAGCUGCACAAGCUGAGGGAACUCUGGGAAGGAGGAGGAAGGAGAGUAGACGAAGCAGCAGCUUUUGAACCUCAUGGCCAUCCCUCAAACAAGCCAGUCACUUAUAAGAUCACUUAGAAGAUGGAUCACCACUUGGAAAGAGCCACGAUAUUGAGUCUUUGUCCUUACUCUGCGUGCUGGAAUGGGGCCUCGCUCUUUUGUUCUGCCUAUCUGGCCUUCAUCUGGAACUGCUGAUGUGUAGUAAAGAACGUGGCUGUGCAUUUGGGAGACCAGAACGAUGUGGAAUUCUUAUAUGAAUAACAGAUAAGUGAGACCAUAUGUGGUAUAAUAGGUUGUAUUCCCAUGAUGUUGCUCUUGGCACCUCUCGUAUCCUCUGAUUAAUCAGACAUCAGUAACUUCUAAUGGAAUUGAAAAGAACUGAAGCAAUCAAGCCACAGGAUACAGGGCGCUAUCUGAAGAAUUGCAUCUAAUCCGCAGCCGCCGAAAAAUGUUAUGAUCUUCAGAUCUCUCUUACUGAAAAAUGAAUGAAAAAUGAUUUGUUCUCUGCAGAUUUUUUUUUAUUGGGAAAGGGGAGGUGAAAGCAGGGUGGGAAGGAAGGGGGAAAACCUGUUUUCCAUCAGAAACAUUUUAGAAUGGAAAUUUCCAACCACUUCUAUAGUUAAUGAGGAAAUAGAACAUUUUGUUGCGAAGAUUUCAUUGGGAAACAAUUUCCGUUUUUCAUCAGAAAGCUCUCC